rnacentral:rRNA from 1 species
ACGCUUGGCGGCGUGCCUAAUACAUGCAAGUAGAACGCUGAAGAGAGGAGCUUGCUCUUCUUGGAUGAGUUGCGAACGGGUGAGUAACGCGUAGGUAACCUGCCUUGUAGCGGGGGAUAACUAUUGGAAACGAUAGCUAAUACCGCAUAACAAUGGAUGACACAUGUCAUUUAUUUGAAAGGGGCAAUUGUUCCACUACAAGAUGGACCUGCGUUGUAUUAGCUAGUAGGUGAGGUAAUGGCUCACCUAGGCGACGAUACAUAGCCGACCUGAGAGGGUGAUCGGCCACACUGGGACUGAGACACGGCCCAGACUCCUACGGGAGGCAGCAGUAGGGAAUCUUCGGCAAUGGGGGCAACCCUGACCGAGCAACGCCGCGUGAGUGAAGAAGGUUUUCGGAUCGUAAAGCUCUGUUGUAAGUCAAGAACGGGUGUGAGAGUGGAAAGUUCACACUGUGACGGUAGCUUACCAGAAAGGGACGGCUAACUACGUGCCAGCAGCCGCGGUAAUACGUAGGUCCCGAGCGUUGUCCGGAUUUAUUGGGCGUAAAGCGAGCGCAGGCGGUUUGAUAAGUCUGAAGUUAAAGGCUGUGGCUCAACCAUAGUUCGCUUUGGAAACUGUCAAACUUGAGUGCAGAAGGGGAGAGUGGAAUUCCAUGUGUAGCGGUGAAAUGCGUAGAUAUAUGGAGGAACACCGGUGGCGAAAGCGGCUCUCUGGUCUGUAACUGACGCUGAGGCUCGAAAGCGUGGGGAGCGAACAGGAUUAGAUACCCUGGUAGUCCACGCCGUAAACGAUGAGUGCUAGGUGUUGGAUCCUUUCCGGGAUUCAGUGCCGCAGCUAACGCAUUAAGCACUCCGCCUGGGGAGUACGACCGCAAGGUUGAAACUCAAAGGAAUUGACGGGGGCCCGCACAAGCGGUGGAGCAUGUGGUUUAAUUCGAAGCAACGCGAAGAACCUUACCAGGUCUUGACAUCCCGAUGCUAUUUCUAGAGAUAGAAAGUUACUUCGGUACAUCGGUGACAGGUGGUGCAUGGUUGUCGUCAGCUCGUGUCGUGAGAUGUUGGGUUAAGUCCCGCAACGAGCGCAACCCCUAUUGUUAGUUGCCAUCAUUCAGUUGGGCACUCUAGCGAGACUGCCGGUAAUAAACCGGAGGAAGGUGGGGAUGACGUCAAAUCAUCAUGCCCCUUAUGACCUGGGCUACACACGUGCUACAAUGGUUGGUACAACGAGUUGCGAGUCGGUGACGGCGAGCUAAUCUCUUAAAGCCAAUCUCAGUUCGGAUUGUAGGCUGCAACUCGCCUACAUGAAGUCGGAAUCGCUAGUAAUCGCGGAUCAGCACGCCGCGGUGAAUACGUUCCCGGGCCUUGUAUUACACCGCCCGUCACACCACGAGAGUUUGUAACACCCGAAGUCGGUGAGGUAACCUUUUGGAGCCAGCCGCCUAAGGUGGGACAGAUGA